GAUGAACGCUAGCGGCAGGCUUAACACAUGCAAGUCGAGGGGCAGCACGGGUAGCAAUACCUGGUGGCGACCGGCGCAAGGGUGCGUAACGCGUGAGCAACAUGCCCUAUACAGGGGGAUAAUCCAGGGAAACUUGGUCUAAUAUCCCAUAGUAUUUAGAGGAGGCAUCUUCUAUAAAUUAAAGCUUCGGUGGUAUAGGAUUGGCUCGCGUGACAUUAGCUAGAUGGUGAGGUAACGGCUCACCAUGGCAAUGAUGUCUAGGGGUUCUGAGAGGAAGGCCCCCCACACUGGGACUGAGACACGGCCCAGACUCCUACGGGAGGCAGCAGUGAGGAAUAUUGGACAAUGGGAUGGAAAUCUGAUCCAGCCAUGCCGCGUGCAGGAAGACAGCCCUAUGGGUUGUAAACUGCUUUUAUAUGGGAGCAAUAAGGUCUACGUGUAGACUGAUGAGAGUACCAUAUGAAUAAGC
rnacentral:rRNA from 1 species